GGGAUGACUGCAUCCCUCUGAAAACCUGCAGUGACUCCAAGAGCUAGAGGGAUUUAGGGAUGGGAAUUCAUCAGAAUGUUUCCCUGGCGAGACACAGUCACCGUGUUGGGGUGCAGAUGUGUUGGAGGGGAGCAUUGCUGUGGGAGAAGCUUUCAAAGGUGUGGAGCCAUGUGUGACUGCAGGGGACACUCACAGCCCACCUUGACUGCAAAAACUGCAGCACCUGGGGCUCAGCAGGAUCAUCUGCUUCUCUUUUUGCUCUUCCUGCUGUUGUCCACUUCGGAAAAAUAAG
rnacentral:lncRNA from 12 species